GUUGAACGCUGGCGGCAUGCUUUACACAUGCAAGUCGAACGGCAGCACGGACUUCGGUCUGGUGGCGAGUGGCGAACGGGUGAGUAAUACAUCGGAACGUACCCAGUAAUGGGGGAUAACUAGUCGAAAGAUUAGCUAAUACCGCAUACGCCCUACGGGGGAAAGAGGGGGAUCGCAAGACCUCUUGUUAUUGGAGCGGCCGAUGGCUGAUUAGCUAGUUGGUGGGGUAAAGGCCUACCAAGGCGACGAUCAGUAGCGGGUCUUAGAGGACGUUCCGCCACACUGGAAGUGAGACACGGUCGGGACACCUACGGGAGGGAGCAGUGGGGAAUCUUGGACAAGGGUCGAAAGCCUGUUCCAGCAAUGCCGCGUGCGUGAAGAAGGCCUUCGGGUUGUAAAGCGCUUUUGUCUGGGAGCAAAUCCGUGUGGCUAAUACCCACCGGGGAUGAGAGUACCAGAAGAAUAAGGACCGGCUAACUACGUGCCAGCCGCCGCCGUAA
rnacentral:rRNA from 1 species